GCGUUGUCCGGAAUUAUUGGGCGUAAAGAGCUCGUAGGCGGUUUGUCGCGUCGGCUGUGAAAUCUUGGGGCUCAACCCCAAGCCUGCAGUCGAUACGGGCAGACUUGAGUGCGGUAGGGGAGACUGGAAUUCCUGGUGUAGCGGUGAAAUGCGCAGAUAUCAGGAGGAACACCGGUGGCGAAGGCGGGUCUCUGGGCCGUAACUGACGCUGAGGAGCGAAAGCGUG
rnacentral:rRNA from 1 species